rnacentral:lncRNA from 1 species
GGCUGCCGUCAGGCGCGGGUCGUGGUCCCGUGGUGCCCCGGGUGAACGCCCCGCUCCCUCACAGCGCCCUCGGCCCCUGCCCCUUGUUUUUUUGUGUUGCAGGCUGCUGGGGGCUCCCCGGUUUUGUACCAUUGGGGUUUUUCCGUGUGGAGCGUUCUUAAGAGGAAACAGAAGAUGAGUUUUCUGUAGACCAUACAAUGCCUUCCAGUGAGCACAUGUCCCAGUAAACAGGCUGACUUUUCUGGUAGUACUACAUCUCCAGUGACUGAUGGAUGUGAGUUCUUACAGUGCAUUUCCCCUUUUAUCCCAUCAGGGAGAGGCAAGUGUCAGCUGGAAUUGCCACAUGGGGUCACUUUUGAGAGCCCCGUUACACAAAUAAAAUCAUUCAAAUCUCCUAUCCCACUUUCAAAAGAUG